UAUUCAAGAAUUUCAAGGAAUUAAGGGCCAAGAAGCCGAAAACUCACAACGAAACGAUGGUAUUCUUCGAGUUCAAGGCUUCAGGGACGAAUCGGGACGAUGUUUCUGACCUGUUGAAUCGUUGAUGAUGGGAAUCGCAGGGAAGAGGACGCUCAACUCAAUUGCCGACAGUCCCACACCAUCACAUGAUAACUGGGCCUAUUUCAAUUAAAAUUGAUUUGGGUUUGGGCUGUUGAAUGGUUGAUGAUGGGCUCAGGCUGGUUAUCAUACCAUUUUGCAAUCUUAAUAGUUAAUAAUCUCCAACUUUUCGAUUUACAGAAGGAAAAUUGGUUUUUAAUAAACCAACCUUUGUCCCAUUGGUAAAUAAUAAUCUUACCUACGUAAUUGGUAUACAAUAAUCCUACCUAUCAACAUGUUGGUACUCAAUGAACUUCCGUUAAUUUUUUUAACUGAAGUUAGCUUUUAAGUUUUAUUUAUUACACAAACAGUCCCUGUAGUUGUGAUUUACUAGUUUUAACUAUUUUAACACUAGUAAAUUACAGUCCCUUGAGGUUUUUUUUGUUUUAUAAAAUAGUUAAAACUAGUAAAUUACAACUACAGAGACUUUUUGUGUAAUAAAUAAAACUUAAGUUUAAACUUUAUAAAAAGAAUUAGAUUUUACUAAAAAAAAGUAUCCUAUUUUUUGGUUAGGGGUAUCCUCGUAUUUUUUUAGGGGUAUCCUUUAUAUAAAAUCG
rnacentral:lncRNA from 1 species